AAAUGAAAUAAAAGGCAUGAAAAAUAUUUUAAAAAAUGAAUUUUAAAAUGGAAAUAAAAGGGAAAAUCAAAGUCCUUCAAAACACCAAAUAAAUGACCAAGAAAAAUAUGGAAGGUUGGAAAUAAAAUAAGAGGUAUAUAAUAAACUUUUCAUAAUUUUAAAAUGCAGAAAAGUAUUUUUAAACCAUUUAAAAAGAAGGAGAAAAGAGAAAUUCCAUGAAAAAUAGAAAAUCAGUAAAAUAAAAUGUAAAAAAAUAUAAAUCAGAUGA
rnacentral:lncRNA from 1 species